rnacentral:rRNA from 1 species
UACUCCUACGGGAGGCAGCAGUGGGGAAUAUUGCACAAUGGGCGCAAGCCUGAUGCAGCGACGCCGCGUGCGGGAUGGAGGCCUUCGGGUUGUAAACCGCUUUUAUAGGGGGGCAAGCUAUGCCUGUGUGGUGUGGUGAGUGGACUUUAUGAAUAAGCACCGGCUAACUACGUGCCAGCAGCCGCGGUAAUACGUAGGGUGCAAGCGUUGUCCGGAUUUAUUGGGCGUAAAGGGCUCGUAGGCGGUUUGUUGCGUCUGGUGUGAAAGCUUACUGCUUAACGGUAGGUUGCGCUGGAUACGGGCAGGCUUGAGUGCAGUAGGGGAGACUGGAAUUCUCGGUGUAACGGUGGAAUGUGUAGAUAUCGGGAAGAACACCUAUGGCGAAGGCAGGUCUCUGGGCUGUUACUGACGCUGAGGAGCGAAAGCGUGGGGAGCGAACAGGAUUAGAUACCCUGGUAGUCCAUGCUGUAAACGGUGGACGCUGGAUGUGGGGCCCAUUUCCACGGGUUCUGUGUCGGAGCUAACGCGUUAAGCGUCCCGCCUGGGGAGUACGGCCGCAAGGUUAAAACUCAAAGGAAUUGACGGA